GAACGUAAUGGCAUAUCUGCUCGUGAGGAGGAGGAGGAGGAGGAGGAGGAGCCGACGGUCUCCUUCUGGUUCCCGUUACGAUGCGAGAAAUCCGCCGUCCUGCCGUUCAGCUGUGCUUCCCGUCGACUCUUGAGCAAACUGUGGAAUCUCGCCCGUGCGGCUGAAGCCUCCGUCAGUGACGACUAUGAUGCCCCAACGUGUGUUCCCUGGUGGAUUCUGACUCCGACCUUCACCUGGUGACGGGACUCACCACCUGACCAGUAACAGCACACCUCUAAUACAGUCGGCCAUGCCAGAUGCUGCCAACUAACAAGUAGCACCGGGAGGGAAAACUCCAGUUUUGGUAAAACUUCCGUUUGUGUAAGAAUGAGAAACUGAGUGGGGGGGAGAAAGUGGAAAGAAAGGUGAGACAGAAGGGGCCGAAGUGCUUGCGGUGGUGACACAAGAGCAGAGCCGUCCUGUCAGUUGGCUUGGCGGCACGUGAGGCCCUGAGGAUGACCAGCCUGUUCAAACGCAGCAGCAGCAAUGGGGGCUCCAGGAGCAGCGGGAGUGGCGGCGGGGGCGGCAGCGGACAGGGGCAGCUCAACAACAGCAGGCCCAACCGGCAGGUCCGGCGCCUGGAGUUCAACCAGGCCAUGGAGGACUUCAAGACCAUGUUCCCCUCGAUGGACUACGAGGUGAUUGAGUGCGUGCUGCGCUCCAACAACGGUGCGGUGGACGCCACGAUCGACCAGCUGCUCCAGAUGAGCAUCGACGGACAGGGCUCAGACGACAGUUCCGACUCGGAUGACAGCAUCCCACCAGAGAUUCUGGAGCGAACCCUGGAACCUGACAGCUCAGACGAGGAACCGCCUCCGGUCUACUCUCCACCAGCGUAUGACAUGCACAUGUAUGACAGGAAGUACCCAGAGACGCCGCCAACGCCCCCUCCACGAUUCGAAGUCCAGCCUCCUCCCGGUCACCAGCAGGUCAGAAGCUACCGGAACUGGAACCCUCCAAUGCUCGGAAAUCUCCCAGACGAUUUUCUGCGGAUUCUGCCACAGCAGUUAAACAGUACAAAGAGCUCUCAGAGCAGCCUAUCCCAGCCGCCGCCGCCGCCGCCGCCGUCCUCCUCCUCCACCGCCUCCAUUUCCCCAACGAGCCAGUGGACAGCCCAGUCGACUUCUCGGUCCGGAGCCGCGGGGACCGCUGGAGGUCCAGGUUUGACCGCGGGCGGUACAGAGCAAGACAAGAAACUGAAGCAGUACCUGGACGACGAGCGCAUCGCCCUGUUCCUCCAGAACGAGGAGUUCAUGAAGGAGCUGCAGCGCAACCGCGAGUUCCUCAUCGCCUUAGAGAGAGAUCGCUUGAAGUAUGAAUCAAAGAAAUCAAAGGCCAGUCAUUCAUCUAGCAUGGAGAGUUCCACAGGAGAGCAGUUCUCUGCGGCAUCCAUGGAGGCCAUCUCAGACGACGCCCUCUUCAGAGACAAACUCAAACACAUGGGCAAAUCCACGAGAAAGAAGCUGUUCGAAAUUGCCAGGACGUUCUCGGAAAAGACAAAGAGGAGAAAGUCAAAACGGAGGACGCUCCUGAAGCACCACUCGUAUCCUUUGGUCAACCCCGCUCACCCUGUCUGCGUUAUAUUGGUGUAAAGUCAAACCUACUCACUCGCCCCGAUCAGACCAUUCAUUUUUGCUUUUAAGUAUUCAGCAGUCACAUCAGGCUCUCCACAUUCUUCAUAUGAGGACAUCCAGAUCACCACCUCUGAGGACGCAUUUAUAAUCUCAAGGUCUUCACAUUAUCUACACUGAGCACUUCAGUGUAGAUACUCAGCGUCCACGCGUGUGAUCUGUCUGUCCACUUCCAUGAGACCUUAACUGAGCUCCUGUCCAGACUGGGCACAGCCAACUCCACAGCCAAUCUCCUGGACGAUGUGGAGGGAAACCCCUGUGCACACUUCCACCUGUACAUCCACUCAGAGGAGACUGAUCUAGCCGCUGAGUGACGAUUCAAGUCGCAGCAUCAGAACUAAAACGACUUGUAUGUAACUGCUUGAGGGGAAAUGAAAUGAUAAGCAUCGCCGCAAGAGGGAAAUCAGAACAUAAAAAACGUUUACAAAAUGUUAAAGUUGACCUCUUUUUCCCACCCUGAUAUUCAUGUUUACCAGUUGUCGUGAGGAUCUACAACAAAUGUAAAUGAACAUUCAUCGGUGAUGCACUUACGAUUAUGUGCUUGUGUUCAGAGGAAGACGGUCGGCCCAGGAGGGCAAACACUCAGGAAGAGGCUGAACCACGCAAUGAGCCACUAUCAUGGUGAGAUGCUCCUCAGUCAUUGCUCAGUGGGUGUUCAUGAAGCUGGAUUCACAUCGGCCAUGGCUGCGACGUCAGCGGCGCCAGACUCUUUAAUGUUCGCGCUUCAGGCCUUCUCCUAACGUGAAGGUGCCACUGCUGACAAAAGACUAUGGAUCCCACUCCAGCAACAUUUGCCCCCCUGCACUGAGAACAUUUUCUGCUUUUCCAUGUGUCAGAAUCGUGUAUGUGUUGUGAAGAUCGCCACUUUUGUGGCUUCCGGGCUUUGUAAAAAGAAAAGAAAAAGAGGAUAAGAUAAAUGUCAGUGAGGGUCUGUCGCAUCCUCAUUCACCGCUUUUUGCUUUGGAGUGAAGACACACGUCACCCAGACUCUGCUCUGCCUUUCAGAUCCUCCCGGGGCUGCACCAUGUCAGGGUUACCAUGGAGACAGCAGCGUGACCCAUUGGGUGGUGGCCUCGCCAGUCUUCCUGUCUCCCACUGCAACCCGCUAAUAUAAGGCUCAGCAAUGAGCUGAGACCCCCCCCCCCACCCCCCACAUGGUCCUCGUCCUCUUCCCAGCCCUGGGCUGAUUGUCUGUAAAUGUCUUAUCGUACCUGUAUUAUAACACUUUGUUGAUAUAUAAUUUUACAUGUAAAGGAAAACGCAUUAGUCCCGACCAGUAUUUGUUAACCUUUAACUCCCAGAGAGGAACACUGGCAUCGUUCCGAUCUCACCCUGUGAGCCUUUGUUACCGUUCCAGUCGUGUGCAGUAGCGGCAGUGUGUGUGUGUUCUGCCUGGGCUCCCUCUGGCUGAGCAUCUCAAAUCAAAAGUGUGCUCAUUCCCCCUUUAUAUACACUCGACCAGGUAGAGCUCUUUUUUUUUUUUUUUGUAAUUUUUACCAUGGUUUUCUCAACCAGGUUGUGAUAUGUGUCUGUUCCUGGGCAUCAGGGGCGAUGUCACAGGAACUCUUUAGUGUCAGAAUAUUGUGGCCAGUCAUGUCGUAGCUCCCCUGUUGUGAACGCUCGUCCGUGGCCACGGUAACCGUUUGGUCGCAGCUAAAGGACAGUUAUAAAAAAAAAGAAAAGAAGAAGCAAAUAAUAACAAUGACAGAGCAGCCGACUGAUUUUGUUUGGGGUGGAAGACGGCGUCAUCCGGUCUAUUGUAGCGUCACAAACAGCCGCACGGUUAAACGCUGUGACGUCAACAAACCUGGGUGUCGACAAGUAAGACAGAGCCUGGACAACUUUCCAACCAGGAAACGAGCUGCUGUCUGCCGCCGCUAAUUGGCAGGAGCCAAUUGGACUCCAGAAAAGUCAGACAACUGGUUGCGUGGAGAGCGAAAAAAGGUUGAGCCGCACGCACACCCAAGUUGUUCACUGCGUGACCGGGAUUUUCACUUUUUAGAAUAUUUUCACCAAUCGUCAAUUUUUAAAUGACGAAUUCCCCCAAAGAUGUAUGUGCGGCAGACCCAGCCAAUGCCAUUCGAGCGGCCGUCGGCCGCAUCGCCUACGCAACCACGACGACGCCUCUUCAGUGGCGGUAGCCCGCGCGUGGCCGGAUGCUCCCGCGCGUCACAGCGGCAGCGGCCUGAAAGGCAGGAAGGACACAGUCAAGGUUUUUUUAUGUUUGCAGGGCGGGAAAUCCAGAGAGGGUCCUCAGCUUCGUCGCUGCACUACUGACCCCUGCUGGUCGAUCAGGGUGCCUGCACGGAGAACGAGACGGGGAGGAGAAACAAACUGCCAGUGCACGUCAGGACAAAUGGCUGCCAGAUGUCAACAUCUACCUCCUCCUACCCAUUAGACCCCUGCAUUUUUUUUUUUUUUUAUGUCAUGCCGUUUUUUUCUCUCGUUUUUUUGUUCAUUCCCGACACAUCCAGAGAAACUUUGCCAAUAAUCUGCCAGAUUUCUAGAACAUUAAACAUAUAUUAAAGGUUGUUUUUUUGCAAGA